rnacentral:rRNA from 1 species
UACGGAGGGUGCAAGCGUUGCUCGGAAUUAUUGGGCGUAAAGGGUAGGUAGGUGGUCUCAUUUGUCUGGGGUGAAAUCCUUGAGCUUAACUCAAGAAGUGCCCUAGAAACGGUGAGACUAGAAUCUUGGAGAGGGUCGUGGAAUUCCCGGUGUAGCGGUGAAAUGCGUAGAGAUCGGGAGGAACACCAGAGGCGAAGGCGGCGACCUGGACAAGUAUUGACACUCAACUACGAAAGCGUGGGGAGCAAACAGG